rnacentral:piRNA from 1 species
UCUGCAUGAAGAUGUAGAGGUAGAGAAAA